AACUAGCAGUGCCAACAAAGGAUAUUUAUUAGUUGUGCAUAAGUUAGCCUGCUUGCCUCUUUGACUGCACAGGAGAGACCUGCUGUAGCUUUGCUUUUAGUUGUGAGUAUCCCCUGCAAGGGAUUUCCUUUUAAUCCAUCAGUCAUUUCAGAGGCUUUGCUUGACUGCUUGCUUGCAAAUAAAGCCAUAUGGCUAGUAUGUGAUAUGCUGAAGAAGAAGCCCUUCCUACCUACCUACCUACCUAACAACCUAACAAAUUUUGCUUUGCAAAAAACAAUCUCAGAGCUGGGCACCUUGCUAUCUACUCUGAGUGACUCUGAACUGGAGUUUGACUUCACCCCCCUUAUGUAAAUCAAAUACCUUAAAAAAAACAAAAACCUCCUCUUGUACACAAACAAAAGUUCCAAAACGUGGAAGUGGCCAUGAGAAAUAAAUUUGUCUGCAGGAGAAGGUGUGGAUGGGGAGGGAGAGUGGAAAUAGACUGGAGCAGAAAAUGGAGGGGCACAGGUGAAACGAAUUAAGCUAGAGGCUGAGGGAAGUGAGUGAGAGGACCUGAAGCAGUGAAUGCAUUGCAGGUGGAAGGGGUUGGUGCUGGUCUGUCUCCUGGAAGGAAGUUGGUGGCCUUGUGUGGAAAGGAGCAGCACAGACAAGUGCAAAAGCAGUCGCGAGGUGAAAAAGGAGAGAGAUGCAUCGACACUUUGGAGGUGGCAUGUGCAAUGCCCACAUCCCGCAAGCCCCUGCAGAACAUCGAAGAGAUUGCAAAGCUGCUUGAGAUGAGAUGUCUAAAAGGAAGAGUCAAACUGAUGCCGAUAUCAUGACCAUGAUAUUUGGAAACAUUUGGAAAUGGAUGUCGUCUUUGAAACAGAACCCAGGUCAAAAGAGCAUCACCAGCUGCAAAAAAAUAUCCAUCAGGAAGGCAUUGCACGAUGACCAGCACUGGCACUGUCAACUGCAGAGACACAGAGUCUUUUAAAACUUUUUUUCUGUUAAAGAGAAAAAAGAAGAGAGAAAAGAGAAGAGGAAAAAAGAAGAAAGAAAAGAAAAACAUAGCACCUGUUGCUGCCACCACUUGUGCUGCUGGGUUCCCAUCACUUGACCUACUUGGAAAUAGACAGAAAAAGGCAUUGUGGAAAACAUGCU